CGUGGACACCACACACACCAGAGUGUGGUCACCACACACACCAGACUGUGGUCACCACACACCAGACCGUGGUCACCACACACAAGACCGUGAACAUCACAUCAGAACAUCACAACAUCAGAACAUCACAACAUCAGAACAUUACAACAUCAGAACAUUACAACAUCAGAACAUUACAACAUCAGAACAUUACAACAACAGAACAUUACAACAUCAGAACAUUACAACAUCAGAACAUUACAACAUCAGAACAUGACAACAUCAGAACAUUACAACAACAGAACACUACAACAUCAGAACAUUAGAACAUUACAACAUCAGAACACUACAACAUCAGAACAUUACAACAUCAGAACAUGACAACAUCAGAACAUUACAACAACAGAACAUUACAACAUCAGAACAUUACAACAUCAGAACAUUACAACAUUACAACAACAGAACACUACAACAUCAGAACACUACAACAUUAGAACAUUACAACAUCAGAACACUACAACAUCAGAACAUUACAACAUCAGAACAUGACAACAUCAGAACAUUACAACAACAGAACACUACAACAUCAGAACAUUACAACAUCAGAACAUUACAACAUCAGAACAUUACAACAUCAGAACAUUACAACAUCAGAACAUUACAACAUUACAACAACAGAACACUACAACAUCAGAACAUUACAACAUCAGAACAUUACAACAUCAGAACAUUACAACAUCAGAACAUUACAACAUCAGAACAUGACAACAUCAGAACAUCAUAAUAUCAGAACAUUACAAGAUCAGAACAUUAUGACAUCAGAACAUUACGACAUCAGAACAUCAUUAUAUCAGAACAUUACAAAAUCAGAACAUUACGACAUCAGAACAUUACAACAUCAGAACAUUACAACAUCAGAACAUCAGAACAUGACAACAUCAGAACAUCAUUAUAUCAGAACAUUACAACAUCAGAACAUUACAACAUCAGAACAUUACAACAUCACAACAUCAGAACAUCAGAACAUUACAACAUCAGAACAUUACAACAUCACAACAUCAGAACAUCAUUAUAUCAGAACAUUACAACAUCAGAACAUUACAACAUCAGAACAUCAUAAAAUCUGAACAUUACAACAUUACAACAUUACAACAUCAGAACAUCAGAAUAUCACAACAUCCGAACAUCAUAAUAUCACAACAUCACAACAUCAGAAUAUCAGAACAUCACAACAUCAGAAUAUCACAACAUCCGAACAUCAUAAUAUCACAACAUCAGAACAUCAGAAUAUCACAACAUCCGAACAUCAUAAUAUCACAACAUCAGAACAUCCGAACAUCAUAAUAUCACAACAUCACAACAUCAGAACAUUACAACAUCAGAAUAUCACAACAUCACAACAUCAGAACCAUCAGAAUAUCAGAACAUCACAACAUCAGAAUAUCAGAACAUCACAACAUCAGAAUAUCAGAACAUCAUAAUAUCACAACAUCACAACAUCAGAACCAUCAGAAUAUCACAACAUCAGAACAUCAGAACAUCAGAAUAUCACAACAUCCGAACAUCAUAAUAUCACAACAUCAGAACAUCACAACAUCAGAACCAUCAGAAUAUCAGAACAUCACAACAUCAGAAUAUCAGAACAUCAUAAUAUCACAACAUCAGAACAUCAUAAUAUCAGAACAUUACAACAUCAGAAUAUCAGAACAUCAUAAUAUCACAACAUCAGAACAUCAUAAUAUCAGAACAUUACAACAUCAGAACAUCAAAAUAUUCUGCCAGUGCCAACUAUAUAAUAUAUAAUGAACUGGAUUGAUAGUUUUGAUAUGUCUUUAUACAUCAACAUGUAGUUUAUGUGGCCUGCUGUAAUGAACCACUCUGGAAACUGUCUCUAGGCAACGCUGGUGAUGUCAAUGCAGAUCAGACAUGUCACCAUGUUUAAAUAGUAGAUGAUUGUGUGGGUUUUGGUUGGUAAUCACCAUCUCUGUCGGUAUUGGAUACGUCUUGUUUCUGUCAACUUCAACUAACAACUUUUAAAGCCUCCAUUGAUGUACAGUACUAAUUUCCUGGAAGUUAAUUUGGUAACACCCUACAUAGCGCUCUCCUUCUGUAGUUCCCUCUGGGGCAGUUGAGAUCUUUGUCUCUGAUUGCAUUCCAAAUGGGACCCUAUUCCCUACAUAUAGUGCACUACUUUAGACCAGGGCUGGCACCAUAUUCCCUACAUAUAGUGCACUACUUUAGACCAGGGCUGGCUCCCUAUUCCCUACAUAUGGUGCACUACUUUUGACAGAGCCCUAUGGGUAAUAGGGCACCAAUUUGGAACGUAGACUUGGUCUUAAUUCAUUACAUUCAGCAACAAAUUAGUUUGUCCCUCUAAUCAAGAGCAGGAAGUAGUGAUGUACUGUACUCUGGUUCCCCAGGAAUGACAUCUUUUCAUCUUUUCCAGAACUUCUCACCAUCCGUUUGUCGCCAAGAUUACUGGUGACAUUUGUUGAGCUGAGUUUCCUUCUUCCACCUCUUACUUUUCCACCGAAUUGUUGAUUCUACUCAAUUUAAAGAAUUGUGUCAGCCUUCAGCCCGCCUCACGAAUGGUCUAGGUCACAUCCAAACGGCGUCCUAUUCCCUGUGUAGUGUACUACAUUUGACGAGGACCAAUAAGAAAUAGGGUUCAUUUUGGGAUACACACCAGUCUGCUCAUAGGGCCUACGGACAUACCAGCAUAUUGGAAAAAUAUGGAUGUAAUUUUUCUGUCUCUGAAGUCCCUCUCCUUCCUCCAUCCCUCCUACUCCUCUAUGUGCUCAGUUUAGAAGGCAUUAGCUCACUAACCAGGCAUUUCAGUAGAAGCACAUUUGAACAAACAAACGGCAUGUCAAAUGGCAUGAGGUAACAAGCUCCGUUCUGGUUCUGCUGUGUUUAUUUAACCAGUCUGUUUGGUAUAGGAGUGGAGCGCUAGGCUAGCUAUACGGCUAGCUACACUGUACUGAGAGAGGAGGGUUAGGUCAUUGAUUAUUUAACCAGUCUGUUUGGUAUAGGAGCAGAGCACUAGGCUAGCUAUAUGGCUAGCUAUACUGUACUGACAGAGAGAAGGGUUAAGUAAUAUAUUAUUUAACCAGUCUGUUUUGUAUAGGAGCAGAGCGCUAGGCUAUCACAGCACAGAAUCGUUUCACUCAAAUUGAGUUUCUGUAUUGAAAAAAAUGUAUAACUACCUUAGACAAACAUCAACAAAUGUGGGAGCCUGUUGACCUGGCUGAAAAAUAAAUAGUUGUUUUGGACAGUGUACUUAGGGGUCCUCAAGAGGGUCAGCAGGAAAUGUGCUUUUACAGCUUGAUUUCUGCUAAUGCUGUUCUAGCAAGGCUGCUACUUCACAACCAGUCAGACCAAAGCUGCUACUUCACAAUCAGUCAGACCAAAGCUGCUACUUCACAAUCAGUCAGACCAAGGCUGUUACUUCACAAUCAGUCAGACCAAGGCUGCUACUUCACAAUCAGUCAGACCAAGUCUGCUACUUCACAAUCAGUCAGACCAAGGCUGUUACUUCACAAUCAGUCAGACCAAGGCUGCUACUUCACAAUCAGUCAGACCAAGGCUGCUACUUCACAAUCAGUCAGACCAAGGCUGCUACUUCACAAUCAGCCAGACCAAGGCUGCUACUUCACAAUCAGUCAGACCAAGUCUGUUACUUCACAAUCAGUCAGACCAAGGCUGCUACUUCACAAUCAGUCAGACCAAGUCUGCUACUUCACAAUCAGUCAGACCAAGGCUGCUACUUCACAAUCAGUCAGACCAAGGCUGUUACUUCACAAUCAGUCAGACCAAGGCUGUUACUUCACAAUCAGUCAGACCAAGGCUGCUACUUCACAAUCAGUCAGACCAAGGCUGCUACUUCACAAUCAGUCAGACCAAGUCUGCUACUUCACAAUCAGCCAGACCAAGGCUGCUACUUCACAAUCAGUCAGACCAAGGCUGCUACUUCACAAUCAGUCAGACCAAGGCUGCUACUUCACAAUCAGUCAGACCAAGGCUGCUACUUCACAAUCAGUCAGACCAAGGCUGCUACUUCACAAUCAGUCAGACCAAGGCUGUUACUGCACAAUCAGUCAGACCAAGGCUGCUACUUCACAAUCAGUCAGACCAAGUCUGCUACUUCACAAUCAGUCAGACCAAGGCUACUACUUCACAAUUGAAAUGUACUCCUCACUUAAUCCAAAUAACUUAGACUUAACGUUUGUUAUGAUAUCGAGUUUAACGUUACUAUUGUGCAGGAUGCGAACAGGUGACUACAAUGGAUUAAAGUGAGCAAAAAAUAAAUCAUUCUCAGAUUUUUUUGUUGUUGAGUGCUCCAAUUAGUUUUUACCUCAAAUUAGUUAUUUUUAACUUUUUUCUUGGUAAGCCAUUUUCAUGAUUUUUGUCAUUGUUGUUGAGCACCCCACCUUUCCUUAGUUUGCUGAAGCGUGAAGGACCACCUGAACUCUAAUAUCACUACUUAACACUGAUAUAUGUGACCACAUUGCUGGUGGAUCUAAUGGGUGUCCACAAGAUCACAGUUGCAAUGACUGAUGGAAGGAGAGAGAGAGUGAGAUGGAGAAAGAAAGAAGGAGAGAGACAUACAGAGGAGAGACACACACAGAGAAAGACACAUAGAGAGAGAGUGAGAGAGAGCGAGAGGGAGUGAAAGAGAGAGAGGGUGAGUGAAAUAGAGAGAGUGAGUGAAAUAGAGAGAGAGAGUGAAUGUGUGAGAGAGAGAGCAAGUGAAAGAGAGUGAGAGAGAGUCAGAGAGUGAGUGAAAAAGAGAGUAAAAGAUAGAGAGAGAGCAAGUGAAAGAGACAGUAAAAGAGAGAGACUCCGAGAGAGUGAGUGAAAGAGAGAGUAAAAGAGAGAGAGAGAGUGAAAGAGAGAGAGAGAGUGAAAGAGAGAGAGUAAAAGAGAAACAGAGCAGAGUCCCUGGGAGGUUUACACUUGCACACCAAACAUUCCACACAUUCAUUUUGUGCCACCUUCUACUCACCUUGCCCUGUGAGGAUGCCCAGAUUAAUCAUGUUAAGAGUUAGACUUCGCCUUCCCUCAUCGAGCUGCAACAGAUAAAUUACAGGCUGGCUUCAGACCCUGACUGACUGACAGGCCUAGACCAGAGGAGUCCUUCCAUUCUUUAUUUUAUUUUUCCUUUAUUCUUCCUGUGUUUCUGUCUCAUCCUCUCCCCUUUCUUUACAG
rnacentral:lncRNA from 1 species